rnacentral:miRNA from 1 species
UUACAGGCGUGAACCACCGCG